rnacentral:tRNA from 1 species
GGAACUGUGGCUCAGUGAUAGAGUGCUUGCCUUGAAUGCAUGAGGCCUUGGGUUUGAUUCCUCAGCACCC